rfam:Culex pipiens quinquefasciatus supercont3.53 genomic scaffold, whole genome shotgun sequence.
AAAAUGGCCCUUUUCAGGGCCACACGAAAGAGUAUUCUUUAAAAAU